AUUGAACGCUGGCGGCAGGCCUAACACAUGCAAGUCGAACGAGUGGCGGACGGGUGAGAAAUGUCUGGGAAACUGCCUGAUGGAGGGGGAUAACUACGGGAAACGGUAGCUAAUACCGCAUACCAUCGGAUGUGCCCAGGUGGGAUUAGCUAGUAGGUGGGGUAACGGCUCACCUAGGCCACGAUCCCUAGCUGGUCUGAGAGGAUGACCGGCCACACUGGAACUGAGACACGGUCCAGACUCCUACGGGAGGCAGCAGUGGGGAAUAGUGCACAAUGGGCGCAAGCCUGAUGCAGCCAUGCCGCGUGUGUGAAGAAGGCCUUCGGGUUGUAAAGUACUUUCAGCGGGGAGGCGUUACCCGCAGAAGAAGCCACGGCUAACUCCGUGCCAGCAGCCGCGGUAAUUC
rnacentral:rRNA from 1 species